rnacentral:lncRNA from 1 species
GGACUAUACUAACGGUUAGUUUUCUGUACUACUUUAAUAGCUAAUUUUUUUAUUUCAACAGCUAUUCUAACUCCUCCAAUGAUCAAAACUCAUUCUCCAAUCUUUUUCAAGUCUAUUACAAGCUAAAGAAUUAAUUAGAAAGCAAGAGAAAGGGAUUAAAAAAGGAAAACAUAUCAUUUAUAUGAGGGAUUAUUGAAUAUCCUUGAGAAAGAAAAAAAAAAGAGGGAUUGUGUGCAAAGU